UGCAGCAAGAAGCGCUCAAAAAGCCCAAUUGGCUCUGCUUUGCAUUAGCGCAUUACGGUUGAUGACCGCUGACGCGGGUGGUCCGCGCCUUCAUCGGCCGGGAUUACAGAGCGGACUCCACACCGAAUGUAUGAGUGCCAGACCUGCGAUGCUAAUCUUACUUCGCCAAGGCUAGCCUCCUCGCUCCUUUGAGGCUUGAUACCGUAUCAAGGUUUUGGGCAGGAGUAGGGGCAUCAUGAGCGGCGGCGGGGUAACAGGGUGGGGUACAGGCUGCAGUGUUGUUCGGGUUUGGGCGCGUUCUAGGCAUGUGGCACCCGUAUGUGGCAGAGCAAUUUGACUGUCCCCAACAUGUUUAUGUGCCCGCCGAGAAUGCUAAGCUGACGGUCUGAACUUCGCGGUUUUUGUAGUUGCACGACUGUAUGUCAUUAGAGUUUCGGCCAUUGUCGCAGGUGCAGGCGCAGUGCAGUAGAAUGCAGGGGCGUGGGCGAGGAGGAGAGGGCUGACGGACAACUGGAGGCCGUGAUGCGGCGGUAGAUACGGUAGGUACAGGACUGGGAGGCGCACCAAAUGCAUGACUGACUUACCAGUGCACGGCUGAACGCGAUGGCUACAUGUGCGGACUGCGGACGGGCUUGGAACAUCAGCUUAUGAAUGAGGGACGGUGCACUGUUGCCGACGCAUUCGGCCUAUCACGGCAUGCACUCACAUGGCAUCAUCUCGCUCUACACCGCCAGUCUUUGGUGCCACGGCAAGAGGUGGGGCCCCGGUGGAUGGGUGUGCAGGAGGGCGGGGUGGUUUGGCGGUAGGGAUGGGAGUGCGGAAGUGGACGACAAGGUCAAGCUUGCAGGAGGUGUUGUUUGCGGUAACAGCUGGAUGGUGGCAUGUUUUGUCGUUGUAAUAUGGGACAAGCAGCAUGAGGAUGCGUUGUCGAGGAUCAAGUUCACGAGCAUGCCAUCAGGUGAGUUGAACAAGAAAGGCCGUUAGUAAGGGCGUGCUAUGGCUGCUGCAAGUUGUUUCGGGUUAAGGAGGAGGGUGGCAUCCCUGGCCACUGGCGAUCCACCGGGUCACCUGCGCAAGGUAGGCGGUGGCGAGCUCCUUGUUGUUGGGGGGGGGCGGGUGGCACAGCCGCACAGCCGGUUUGGUGGUUGGAUGACGGUGGCAGUGCCGGGCCAGUUCCUGAUACCUUCCGUACUCGUGAUGAGCCGUGUGUGACAUCCGUACUCGUGAUGUUCGGUGUUUGUGUCAUAGCCUUGGGCAAACCUAACUGAGCAUUUACGUGGUUUCGAGUCCAACUCGGACACCUGCAAUUCAUCUGUGAUCUGUCAGCUGAGAGCACGCACAUGACGGACGCGGGUCUGCUGCACGUGGCGUACGGCUGCCCCGCCCUGCACAGCCUGCGCUUCAGCGCCACGGGCAUCGCCGAUUGGGGCGUGCGCCGACCGGUGGUGCUGGCAGGGCCUCUGCCCGGUGUUCGCGUCGUGGUCGCAGCAGCAGGGGCAGAAGGCUGGAGGGGCGGCGUUAAGGCGGCAGGCGCUGUGGGUGCCGAGGCACGGGCGGCUUGCAACCAGAUGGCAGCGCGCUGUUGGUUGGGACGUUGGGUUGCACUUGGGGGUGCGCUGGGUGAUAACUUUGUUGCAGGAACGGUGGUAGGCGCCUGGCGUGCGGUAUCCCGCGAGCAGCGGGUGCGCCGCGACGCGUUGACCACUCAGCCUGGCUGCGCACGCUAUGGUCAACUCGGCAUGGGGCCGUUCGACAGAGGCCAGCACACAUGCCGACGUGUAUCCGCUGUCCCCUCCCAGCUGUCCCUUCCAGUAGUCCCUUCCAGUUGUCCCUUCCAGCUGUCCCACACCAACUGUCCCACCCCAGCUGUCCCUUCGGCUCCCUUCUCAAAACGCAGCUUUCAGCAAAAUCUACAGCCUGCCCGACUCCCAGCGUGUGCGACCUUCCGCCCGCCUUCCAAAACGCAACAGCCCCCGCCUCUCCUCGCCAGCCGCUCACAGCCGAAACUCUGCUUCUUUCUUUAUCAGCCACAAACAUCAGCCACAAACAAGGCCUCGGAAACAACGCCUCGGAAACUUCCUCCCAACUAGUGCGCGGCCACAGCUCCCCUACCGAACGUCGCAGCACCUAUCCUCACCAUCAGCAACGCUUCCUCACCUCCGGUUGUGUUGUUGGCGUGUUGCACCGCAUUCGGCCUGCCCGCCACAAUUGUCGUACACAUUCGGGCCCCUCUUCUGCUUUGCUUCGCCUUGUUCCUGCCCCUGUUUGUCACACUGUCGCCCGGCCAUUGUUUUGCUGCACGCCGUUGCAUUACGCUAGUGCUCGUCUACACAGCUCAUCCGUGGACGCCGGUCGACUGCCUGCAGGUGCGCAUCGGCUAUGCUAUCCGCGCGGUGUGGCGUCGCAUUGAGUCUGUGUGGUGCUAUCGCCUUGGCCGGGCGCCCGGAGCGUGAGGAAUGCGCGUCAGCAAAACAUCGACACAACCUGCCAGCUACCGUCGGUACAGUAACAGCGCGCGAACGACGCACCAAUGCCUUGUCCCUUCUUGCUACGCAUUUAUGUGGGCACGGGUGGGAGCCACACACAUCGGGACUACGCUUUCCUGCCCCUUGCCAUGUUCCAUCACAUGCCGACGUGUAGCAGUUUGGACUUUAUUAAUAGGUUGCACUGUUGACGUGAGCUCAAGCUUUCCGCUUAGAAGAGUAGUUGCUAGCAGUGCUAGUGAAGCUGCGUAUACUGUAACUUUCCUGAAGUCGUCAAUUUUUUCUACGCUGCAUACGCACCCUCAUGAUAAUCCUGGUUGUCAUAGAACAUGCCACCUAGACGGGCUCGAGUCCCUGCAACUCUCGAGAGCCGCAUCAAGCAAGGUCUGCAAUACUUUGCUGGCCUGCGCGAGGACGAGGCAGCAGAUGUUGCCCGUGCAAAGGACCUGGGCGAUGCACUCCUUGAAGCUGACAUGAACAUUAUCAGCAAUACCGGGAUUUUGAGCGGCAUCGUGGCUGCGCAUGCCUGGGCCGCGCGUGCGCUUGCCGUUGACGUUCUGAACGACUCGGCUUACGUCGCUUUUGUAGCGACCGCAACUAAUCUAGGAGAACUGCUCAGCAGCCAGCCGGGCGACCAAGCUUACGGCAGGCAGGACCGGUUGGUCCGAGCCCUGCUGAGGGCGGACACGCUCGCCGUGCACGCGAGGCUGUGUGUACGGACGCUCGCGCCCACCCGCGGGGCCGCCGCCCGCCGCAGCCUCCGGCCACCGGAUGCAAUCAAGCGGGAUCUGGUAUGGCGUGUCCUCCAGAACCUCUCCACGAUUGCCCGAUUUGUGAACAACAGCCGGGAUGCUGGCCUCAAGCACGAGCUGGUGACGGCGCUGGCGCACACGCAGCUGCUCGAGCACGCCGCGCGGGCGCUGCUAAGCGCCGCCCAGGCCAUUCAGCCCGCAUCCAGCGAAGGAACUUCAGGGGCGGCUGCAGCUUCGGGAACGGGGCUUCCACCUGAGAGCUGGAUAACCGUGUCGGGCGUAGCAACCACAUUUGCCCACGCGCUUUCGUGCCUGGUGGGCACAGACCUGCGCACUACCGCGCUGUGCCCACGACCCCGCGAACGGGACGCAUCUGUGGAGGUGUCGCAGAAUUCGAGGCAGCUACAACUGCUGGAGCAGCUGCGGCCGCUGCUGGCCAGCCGCUGCGUGCAGCUCUGCACGGGAUGGGCGGGCCUGUGUGCGGCCAUUACCGUACGGCAGCGGGCAGCGGACGACAGCGCUCAGCAGGGCUUGGUACCAACUGCGUCGCAGCUGUGGCACGGGCUGCCGUCGGAGCUGAUACGGCCGCUGCAGCUGCCGCCGCAGGCCACUGUGUCAAGCCAGGAUAUGGUGCGCACAGCGACCCUGGUACGUAUACGGUACUCGACCGCCGAUGCGCAAGAUGGGCUGCUGCGUUAGUUGACGGGGAGCUUGACGGGGAUAUAAGUGCAUGAACUGCAAUGCUCCCGGCGGGGCUCUCCGGUAUACAAUCUAGUGUUGGCAUUACAGGAACUUAGCGUUGACAUUAGCUCGCCAUUUGCUCGCCGCCUUGCAGGCACUGCCUAUGGUCCUGCAGGUGACGGUCAGCGGCCCCUGCGACCUGGCCAUCGCCCAGCCGCCCGUGGGCUACGACCGCCUGCCGCACAGGCAGCCACAGCCGCAGCGACCAUCGGCGGGGCCAUCAGCAGCGGGGUCAGCAGCAGCGGAGGGGCCGGCUGCAGCACCAGCACCAGCUUCGUACAGCGCCGUAAACGCGUACGGGCUGCUUAAGGCAUUAUGGCACUGCCUGGCCUGUGACCGCGCCACUUACACGUGCAACCUGUGCGCAGUCGCCACGGUAAUGACCCGGCUGCUGACGGAGCUGCGGCCGCGGCAGGCGGCGGUGCUGCUGCCGAGUUGGUGGCAGCUGCUGGCGCAGGAGCCGUCCAUGCUCAUUGAGGGGUACGGGCUUGCGCAGGACGCAGGGGAGCUGCUGCGGCUGCAGUUGAAUGCGCCGCCGCCGGUCGCGUGGGCUGUUGGGGUGACGGAUGCAGCUUCCGUGGCUGCGGCGAGUGUGGACUGGCCGCCGGAAGCGGCGGAGGUGCAGGACGCGGAGGCGGCGACAGCAGCGAAGGCAGCAGCCAGCCUGGCGCGUGAGAGGGACCCCAGCUACAGCCUCCGCUGCGCGCUGGACGCGGGGCUGCUGUCAGUUAUGGAACGGUGCCUUCGCGCGCCACAGGCCUGGCGGCAGUCCAACAGCGUGAGCAAGCUGCUGUACGUCGUAAACUGCGUGCUGCGCUACUCGGGCGUGUGGCCCGCGGUGCUGGCUCGCGGUCCCGUGCAGCAGGCGGUGUCGCUGAUUGCCACGCUGGGCGCAGCAGCUCGGCUGCUGCAGGAGAAGGACACGUCACUGGACGUGAUAAGCCGUGCCUCCCAGCCUGGCAUGCAAACAACGGCAAGGUGCGGCGCCGGCGGCUACCUGUGUGCCUACCUGUCCGCAAUGCUGGAGCAGGUCGUGGACGUGCGGGCGCUGGGCGAGGGCGCACAGCAGCAGCAGCAGCGGGAGGAGCAGCAGGCAGCAGCUAUCGAUGCUACGGCCACAGCCGCAAUUUCCACCCCACUGCACCUCAACUCGGUGCUGGAGCAGGUAGUGGAUUCGAAGGACGGCAGUGUCGAGCCCUCCACGUGCUCCAUCGCCUGGAUGGCGGCGGCGGGCGGCCUGCCAGCUGCCGGCUCCACAGCGUACCGGCAGCAGCAGCUGCUCACGAGCUUCGCGGUGUACCAGUGGCUGCCCAUGCUGGCAAAGGCAACGGAGGAUGCCUUGUGGAGUAGUGAGGCGGGCGCCGAGGGCUGGCUGUCGCAGGCGCUCCUGGUGGGGCACCUGGUGAUGGAUGUGCUCUGGCGCGAGGAGCGCCCGCCAGCUGAAGCCGACGAGGGCGCUGGCUCACACAACCGACGACAGGACGCGGCGUGGUGGGAGGGCGUGACGCAGACUGGCCAGCUUGCGAAGAGCAUGCACAAUAUUAUGGACGUGCUGGCAACAGACGCCGUAAGGCCGCUGCUGCUUGAGCACUGUGAACAGUGGCAGCAGGCAGCCGUGUUGGACCUGUUGCAAUCCUAUUGGACACGCUUUGCGGGGGCGGCGCGUGUCACGAUACGUGCGUGGGCGAUACGGGCGGCCGAACAACAGCAUCAGCGGACGGAUGGAAAGCAGCAGGCUGGGCAGGCGGCGGAGGGCGGGAAGGGCAGCAGCACGAGCAGCCUUGGCGACAGCACAGCACAGCAGCGGCAGGCGCCACCGCCCGAGCUAGUGCUGCAGUGCUUGACGCCGCUGCCGAUGCAGCAGCUGGCAGCGGUGCACGGGCGGCAGGACAUGGUGGAUUACCUGGACGCAGUAGCUAAGGGUUUGAGAGGGGAAAUGAUGAUUGAGUGCGGCAGUGCCGGCGCCGGCGGAAGCGGCAUGGGGGUGCAAGGGCCUGCCAGCAUGGAGGGCGGCGCGUCGCACGCUAGCGCCACGGCGGAUAGGUUGAGGGCGAAGUGGGUUGGCGCCGUGCGGCCGCGGUACCCGUGGCUGUUGUCUCAAGGCCAGGCACAGGCGGGGCUGCAUGACCUGAUGGUCGCAGAGGCGGCGGCUGCAGCGGCAGCUACUGCUACGGGCGAGCCCUCAGUAGCCUGCGGCGGCGGUGGCAGCAGCGGGAGCAGUAGCAGGAGCAGUAGUGGGCAGGGCAGCAGCAGCGAUGGGCCGGUAUUUGAGCACAAGCUGUGCUACAACCCGCGCUGCUGCUCGCUGGACGGCCCCAGCGUGUUGGUUGCGCCCCGCGGCGGCAAGACGUGUGUGCGGUGCCGUGCUGCCACGUAUUGCUGCGGCGCUUGCCAGCUUGUGGACUGGCGUGAGCGGCACUCUGGCACCUGCAGUGGAGCCGCCGCGGCGGCGGCAGGGUCAGCAGGGACAGCGAAGGCAGCGCUGAAGAAGGCAUGAACUGACGAAGUGCAACAGCAGUAUGGACCCGAAGACUGCGCUUCAAAUGCGGCGUUUUGCGGUUUGUAUGAGAGUGAGAGUGCGAUGCAUGGCGUGGACUCUUGGGUCGUUUGCCACGCCGAGCGUGCAGCAAGAAGCGCUUAAAAAGCCCAAUUGGCUCUGCUUUGCAUUAGCGCAUUACGGUUGAUGACCGCUGACGCGGGUGGUCCGCGCCUUCAUCGGCCGGGAUUACAGAGCGGACUCCACACCGAAUGUAUGAGUGCCAGACCUGCGAUGCUAAUCUUACUUCGCCAAGGCUAGCCUCCUCGCUCCUUUGAGGCUUGAUACCGUAUCAAGGUUUUGGGCAGGAGUAGGGGCAUCAUGAGCGGCGGCGGGGUAACAGGGUGGGGUACAGGCUGCAGU
rnacentral:lncRNA from 1 species